UCGGUACUUUCAGACUCAAUUCCAAUGUCUUGAGAGGUGUGGAGAAUGAGAAGCUUUUAUUAGCGUACCACAUUUUUCCUAAUUUCUGUGCGGAGAUAUUUUUGAAGAAAAUCCGCGGACUCGUAAUCUAAAUAAAUGGAAAGAUUCGUCCCCAUCAGCUCCUCUAAGCUCUCAAUAGGUAUGUUUUUCCGUUGGUAGCGACAUCAACAACCGCAUUAGUUCCGCAAGUUGAACCGUUGGGAAUGCAAUUGGAGCUGCCACAAAAUGUGAUACUGACAGUGUUCAUUAUGAGUAUCCAAGCUCACAUUAAAUCGACAGAUAACGUACCAAGCUACGGCGAAUAACACAAAAGCCAGAAGAAUUGAUAUCCAAACUUCUUUCUUGAAGGCAACUAUACCAAAACCUCAAUAUACGAUAUUUUAUCUGCUGGAGGAACAACGAAUACAAUGUUGUCUCUGGCAAACACAUGACUGACACGAUAAUCGUGAAAAACAUCAAUCGUCAGUGACAUAUCUCCAAGUAUAGCCCAUUCUGGGAGAUUGUAGUCCACAAUAAUGACCAUAGAAAUGUUUAAUAAUUCCCGCGUAACAUUUAAGGUAUAGUCUCUUGGAUCGUAGUGGUACCGAAACUGAAUAAAGUUGACUAUAAUUGAGAGGCAGCCAUUAUAGUUCCUGAAAGGUUUAGGAAUCGUGUCCGUAAUUGAACCGCUACAACUUUGAUUGUGGAUCACGUUUAAUUGGCGCCCGCAAGCAUUCAACGGGUCGUUUGGAUUUGCCGUAAAUAAGAGCGACUUGCUGCAGCUAUGUAGGUCGAUCGACAACACUGCGGCGUAGAUGGCGUUUCUCUGCCAAAACCACUUCAGGGACGCUUUCGCUAAAUCGUUUUCAUCGGUUACCACUAGAAACCGUUCAUUGUAUAACUUUGCAGAUUGAAUUACGAAAUUGUAGAAAGGCCAUCUCAGACGCCUCUUCUCUGUGCUAGUGUUAACAAGAAUCUUGCUAUUACUUACAUGGAACGGUAAGAGAUGGUUCGACAUAUUAUGGUAAACGAAGUAAAGGGGUUGUUUUCCAAAAAUCGUUUCAACAGCCUUCGCGCCACAUACUUCCAACGACCGCGAAGACACGCCGAUUCCAAUUUGCGAAUUGUGAAUUGAACGCAGAAAAAUUGCGAAGAGAACACAAAGUGGAACGCUGCCUUUCAUUUCACGUACCCGAAGUUACUUCAAAAACAAAUGACGCGAGUAGUAAUUUUCUGUUUGUGGAGUCUUUCAGUGUAUAAUUUCGUGUUGGAUAUCAGACCGUUAAAAACAUAGUAAUGGUAUUUAAUCAUAAAGCUCGUGUUUACCGAGCAAUUGAGUAAUAAUACAGUACAGCGCUAACAGUGGAAACAAAACCUUUCAUAUUUAUUCGAAUGUUCUGUCUUUAUUUUAUAGUAGACGUGUAUAAGUAGAUACCUAAUUCAAUUAUUUCCACAGAAAAGGUCCAAAUUUGGAAAAACCUUAUAAGUUUUUAAAACGUCUAAUGCCAUUGAGUAUAUCCUUCCUUUGCUUUACCGUGUAAUGUUAUUAACUAAUUAUUAUUAAUUAUUUGAGAGCCGCAAAAGGUUUCGUCCAAGAGCCUAUAAAAAUCUCCUAGGUCUUUAUGAGCCUCAGAUAGUGACGUUAGCAUUUAAAAGCUCUUAAUACCCCUGAAAAGACCUAUCCGAACCUUUAUAAAACCGUCUUUCAAAGCUUGUUUUAUUAGUCUCUUGACCCAAACACUACCCAAGAGUCUCCAGAAAAUUUAAUUUGCAAUCAAUAAAGAUAAAAAGAGUCGGGGUAACUACGGGCCUGUAUACGUCAACGAUCAGUAUUAGUCUGGCAACAUGUAGAAAUGUUAAUAUGAUUCAAUAAAGAAUAUUAUUCAAUGAUAUCAAUGAAUAAAG